rnacentral:tRNA from 1 species
GGUGUUGUGGCUCAGUAGUAGAGUGCACACCUCACAUGUGUGAGGCACUGGGUUCAAUUCUCAGCACCAUAU